UACAGAGGGUGCAAGCGUUAAUCGGAAUUACUGGGCGUAAAGCGUGCGUAGACGGUUACAUAAGUCGGGUGUGAAAGCCCCGGGCUCAACCUGGAAUGCAUUCGAGACUGCGUAGCUAGGGUGCGGAAGAGGGAAGCGGAAUUUCCGGUGUGAGCGGUGAAAUGCGUAGAUAUCGGGAAGGAACACCAGUGGCGAAAGGCGGCUUCGCGUGCCG
rnacentral:rRNA from 1 species